UGCUUUCGGGCAUAGUGGCGCACGGGUGCGUAACGCGUGGGAAUCUGCCCUUUGGUUCGGAAUAACAGUUGGAAACGACUGCUAAUACCGGAUGAUGACGUAAGUCCAAAGAUUUAUCGCCAGAGGAUGAGCCCGCGUGAGAUUAGGUAGUUGGUGGGGUAAAGGCCUACCAAGCCGACGAUCUCUAGCUGGUCUGAGAGGAUGAUCAGCCACACUGGGACUGAGACACGGCCCAGACUCCUACGGGAGGCAGCAGUGGGGAAUAUUGGACAAUGGGCGCAAGCCUGAUCCAGCAAUGCCGCGUGAGUGAUGAAGGCCUUAGGGUUGUAAAGCUCUUUUACCCGGGAUGAUAAUGACAGUACCGGGAGAAUAAGCCCCGGCUAACUCCGUGCCAGCAGCCGCGGUAAUACGGAGGGGGCUAGCGUUGUUCGGAAUUACUGGGCGUAAAGCGCACGUAGGCGGCUUUGUAAGUUAGGGGUGAAAGCCUGGAGCUCAACUCCAGAAUUGCCUUUAAGACUGCAUCGCUUGAAUCCAGGAGAGGUGAGUGGAAUUCCGAGUGUAGAGGUGAAAUUCGUAGAUAUUCGGAAGAACACCAGUGGCGAAGGCGGCUCACUGGACUGGUAUUGACGCUGAGGUGCGA
rnacentral:rRNA from 1 species